AUCGCUUCUCAGCCUUUUGGCUAAGAUCAAGUGUAAAAUAUUCCUGUUUUUAGUAGUUUAUACCAGUAUGGUGAAUGAUUUAGAGCUUUCAAUGACUCAGAGAGAGCACUGGGGUACAUAUACCAUAGGUGUGCUACCGCUACGUUACACCUAUAAUUA
rnacentral:snRNA from 1 species